GGUACACGCUGUGACUAGCAUAUCAAUAAGCGGAGGAAAAGAAACUAACAAGGAUUCCCUCAGUAACGGCGAGUGAAGCGGGAAGAGCUCAAAUUUGAAAUCUUGAAAGGUUCACCUUGCACGAAUUGUAGUUUAAAGAAGUGUUUUCUGCUGACGAUCUGGUAUAUAAGUUCUUUGGAAUAGGACAUCAUAGAGGGUGAGAAUCCCGUAUUUGACCAUUAUUUUCAGCUGUGUGAUACACUUUCAAAGAGUCGGAUUGUUUGGGAAUGCAGUCCAAAAUGGGUGGUAAAUUUCAUCUAAAGCUAAAUAUUGGCGAGAGACCGAUAGCGAACAAGUACCGUGAGGGAAAGAUGAAAAGAACUUUGAAAAGAGAGUUAAAUAGUACGUGAAAUUGUCAAAAGGGAAGCGUUUAACACCAGUGUUGUUUUCUGAAAAUCAACCUCUGUUAGCUUUAUGCAUGUUUGUUUAGACCUAAUCAGCUAUCUUGCAUGCUCUAUUGUUUGCAGUGGUGCACUUUUCAGUUUACAGGUCAACAUCAGUUUUUUUUACCGUAAAAAAGUUAAAGAAAGGUAGCUCAUGGCUCCGGUCGUGAGUGUUAUAGUCUUUUUCCUAUGCGGUAGGAGAGACUGAGGUCUGCAGUGUAGGCUAUUUGGCUAGAUACUCAGGUGCUAUGUGAUACCAUUUCAUAAACAACUUGUUGAUUAUGUUUUGUCUAUUGCAUACUCGCUUGUACUAUCAUACCUACGCUUAGGAUGUUGACGCAUGAGAUAUACGC
rnacentral:rRNA from 1 species